UGGGGAAUUUUGGACAAUGGGCGCAAGCCUGAUCCAGCCAUGCCGCGUGAGUGAAGAAGGCCUUCGGGUUGUAAAGCUCUUUCGCGAGGGAAGAAAACGCAACGGUUAAUACCUGUUGUGGAUGACGGUACCUUGAUAAGAAGCACCGGCUAACUACGUGCCAGCAGCCGCGGUAAUACGUAGGGUGCGAGCGUUAAUCGGAAUUACUGGGCGUAAAGCGUGCGCAGGCGGUUUUGUAAGACAGGCGUGAAAUCCCCGGGCUCAACCUGGGAAUGGCGCUUGUGACUGCAAGGCUAGAGUAUGGCAGAGGGGGGUAGAAUUCCACGUGUAGCAGUGAAAUGCGUAGAGAUGUGGAGGAAUACCGAUGGCGAAGGCAGCCCCCUGGGCCAAUACUGACGCUCAUGCACGAAAGCGUGGGGAGCAAACA
rnacentral:rRNA from 1 species